AUGGCGACCGGCGCACGGGUGAGUAACACGUAUCCAACCUGCCGAUAACUCGGGGAUAGCCUUUCGAAAGAAAGAUUAAUACCCGAUGGCAUAAUUAGACCGCAUGGUCUUAUUAUUAAAGAAUUUCGGUUAUCGAUGGGGAUGCGUUCCAUUAGGCAGUUGGUGAGGUAACGGCUCACCAAACCUUCGAUGGAUAGGGGCUCUGAGAGGAAGGUCCCCCACAUUGGAACUGAGACACGGUCCAA
rnacentral:rRNA from 1 species